GUAGGUGGCAAGCGUUGUCCGGGAAUUAUUGGGGCGUAAAGCGCGCGCAGGCGGUUCUUUAAGUCUGAUGUGAAAGCCCACGGGCUCAACCGUGGAGGGUCAUUGGAAACUGGAGAACUUGAGUACAGAAGAGGAAAGCGGAAUUCCACGUGUAGCGGUGAAAUGCGUAGAGAUGUGGAGGAACACCAGUGGCGAAGGCGGCUUUCUGGUCUGUAACUGACGCUGAGGCGCGAAAGCGUGGGGAGCAAACAGGAUUAGAUACCCUGGUAGUCCACGCCGUAAACGAUGAGUGCUAAGUGUUAGGGGGUUUCCGCCCCCUAGUGCUGCAGCUAACGCAUUAAGCACUCCGCCUGGGGAGUACGGCCGCAAAGGCUG
rnacentral:rRNA from 1 species